CAGCCGCCGCGGUAAUGCGAAGGGUGCAAGCGUUAAUCGGAAUUACUGGGCGUAAAGCGUGCGUAGGCGGUUUGUUAAGUCUGUUGUGAAAUCCCCGGGCUCAACCUGGGAUGGCAAUGGAUACUGGCAAGCUAGAGUGUGUCAGAGGAUGGUGGAAUUCCCGGUGUAGCGGUGAAAUGCGUAGAGAUCGGGAGGAACAUCAGUGGCGAAGGCGGCCAUCUGGGACAACACUGACGCUGAGGCACGAAAGCGUGGGGAGCAAACAGGAUUAGAUACCCCUGUAGUCCCUGUCUCUUAUACA
rnacentral:rRNA from 1 species